rnacentral:rRNA from 1 species
GUGGGGAAUCUUGCGCAAUGGGCGAAAGCCUGACGCAGCCAUGCCGCGUGAAUGAUGAAGGUCUUAGGAUUGUAAAAUUCUUUCACCGGGGACGAUAAUGACGGUACCCGGAGAAGAAGCUCCGGCUAACUUCGUGCCAGCAGCCGCGGUAAUACGAAGGGGGCUAGCGUUGCUCGGAAUUACUGGGCGUAAAGGGCGCGUAGGCGGACAGCUUAGUCAGAGGUGAAAGCCCAGGGCUCAACCUUGGAAUUGCCUUUGAUUCUGGCUGUCUUGAGUUUGGGAGAGGUGAGUGGAACUCCGAGUGUAGAGGUGAAAUUCGUAGAUAUUCGGAAGAACACCAGUGGCGAAGGCGACUCACUGGCCCAACACUGACGCUGAGGCGCGAAAGCGUGGGGAGCAAACAGGAUUAGAUACCCGAGUAGUCC